rnacentral:rRNA from 1 species
CCUACGGGGGGCUGCAGUGGGGAAUAUUGGACAAUGGGGGCAACCCUGAUCCAGCCAUGCCGCGUGCGUGAAGAAGGCCCUCGGGUUGUAAAGCACUUUCAGUGAGGAAGAACGCCUGGUGGUUAAUACCCAUCAGGAAAGACAUCACUCACAGAAGAAGCACCGGCUAACUACGUGCCAGCAGCCGCGGUAAUACGGAGGGUGCGAGCGUUAAUCGGAAUUACUGGGCGUAAAGCGCGCGUAGGUGGCUUGAUAAGCCGGUUGUGAAAGCCCCGGGCUCAACCUGGGAACGGCAUCCGGAACUGUCAAGCUAGAGUGCAGGAGAGGAAGGUAGAAUUCCCGGUGUAGCGGUGAAAUGCGUAGAGAUCGGGAGGAAUACCAGUGGCGAAGGCGGCCUUCUGGACUGACACUGACACUGAGGUGCGAAAGCGUGGGUAGCAAACAGGAUUAGAUACCCCAGUAGUC